AUUCCAGCUCCAAUAGCGUACACUAAAGUUGUUGCAGUUAAAAAGCUCGUAGUCUAAUGUAUGGGAGUUGCGGGGUGGGUGUUUCGCUGGUUUUGCCGGUGGGACAAUACUCGCUCCGCUUCCCGCUUGUUUUGCUCUCUUUUAAGAAGGCAAAUGUUUCACUGUAAGUAAAACAACUCGCUCAACAGCAAGGUUAUCUUGAUAUGAAUUAGUAUGGGAUGAUGAGAUAGGCUCGGUCCGUAUUUUGUUGGUUUUAGUGGUCUGAGAAUGAUGAAGAGGGACAAUUGGGGGUAUUCGUAUUUACAUGUCAGAGGUGGAAUUCUUGGAUUUUGGAAAGACGAACUAAUGCGAAAGCAUCUACCAAAGAUGUUUUCAUCA
rnacentral:rRNA from 1 species